rnacentral:tRNA from 1 species
GGGCAUGUGGCGUAACGGCAGAGUGUUCGGCUUAGAACCAAGCUGUCCCGGGUUCGAAUCCUGCCAUGACCU